rnacentral:rRNA from 1 species
AGUUCGGACUGUGGUCUGNAACCCGACCACACGAAGCUGGAAUCGCUAGUAAUCGCGGAUCAGAAUGCCGCGGUGAAUACGUUCCCGGGUCUUGUACACACCGCCCGUCACACCAUGGGAGUCAGCAACGCCCGAAGUCAGUGACCCAACCUUUAAGGAGGGAGCUGCCGAAGGCGGGGCAGGUGACUGGGGUGAAGUCGUAACAAGGUAUC